rnacentral:rRNA from 1 species
CUUUGCUGAAGGAACGGCCCGCGUACCAUUAGCUAGUUGGUGUGGUAACGGCAUACCAAGGCGAUGAUGGUUACCCGGCCUAAGAGGGUGAUCGGGCACAUUGGGACUGAGAUACGGCCCAGACUCCUACGGGAGGCAGCAGCUAAGAAUAUUCCGCAAUGGGGGAAACCCUGACGGAGCGACGCCGCGUGGAUGAUGAAGGCCGGAAGGUUGUAAAGUCCUUUUGGGCGCAAAGAAUAAGUACGCGAGGAAAUGCGCGUGCGGUGACGGUAGCGCCUGAAUAAGCAACGGCUAAUUACGUG